rnacentral:rRNA from 1 species
GAUCCUGGCUCAGGAUGAACGCUAGCUACAGGCUUAACACAUGCAAGUCGAGGGGCAGCAUUUCAGUUUGCUUGCAAACUGGAGAUGGCGACCGGCGCACGGGUGAGUAACACGUAUCCAACCUGCCGAUAACUCGGGGAUAGCCUUUCGAAAGAAAGAUUAAUACCCGAUGGCAUAAUUAGACCGCAUGUUCACAUGAUUAAAAGGUAUUCCGGGUAGACGAUGGGGAUGCGUUCCA